rnacentral:rRNA from 1 species
GAUGAACGCUGGCGGCGUGCCUAAUACAUGCAAGUCGAGCGAACAGAUGAGGAGCUUGCUCCUCUGACGUUAGCGGCGGACGGGUGAGUAACACGUGGAUAACCUACCUAUAAGACUGGGAUAACUUCGGGAAACCGGAGCUAAUACCGGAAAAUAUAUUGAACCGCAUGGUUCAAUAGUGAAAGACGGUUUUGCUGUCACUUAUAGAUGGAUCCGCGCCGCAUUAGCUAGUUGGUAAGGUAACGGCUUACCAAGGUAACGAUGCGUAGCCGACCUGAGAGGGUGAUCGGCCACACUGGAUCUGAGACACGGUCCAGACUCCUACGGGAGGCAGCAGUAGGGAAUCUUCCGCAAUGGGCGAAAGCCUGACGGAGCAACGCCGCGUGAGUGAUGAAGGUCUUCGGAUCGUAAAACUCUGUUAUUAGGGAAGAACAAAUGUGUAAGUAACUAUGCACGUCUUGACGGUACCUAAUCAGAAAGCCACGGCUAACUACGUG